rnacentral:tRNA from 1 species
AGGGCUGUAGCUCAGUGGUAGAGCACUUGCCUAGCACGUGUGAGGCACUGGGUUCAAUUCUCAGCACCACAU